UAGGGAAUCUUCGGCAAUGGGGGGAACCCUGACCGAGCAACGCCGCGUGAGUGAAGAAGGUUUUCGGAUCGUAAAGCUCUGUUGUUAAGGAAGAACGAGUGUGAGAAUGGAAAGUUCAUACUGUGACGGUACUUAACCAGAAAGGGACGGCUAACUACGUGCCAGCAGCCGCGGUAAUACGUAGGUCCCGAGCGUUGUCCGGAUUUAUUGGGCGUAAAGCGAGCGCAGGCGGUUAGAAAAGUCUGAAGUGAAAGGCAGUGGCUCAACCAUUGUAGGCUUUGGAAACUGUUUAACUUGAGUGCAGAAGGGGAGAGUGGAAUUCCAUGUGUAGCGGUGAAAUGCGUAGAGAUAUGGAGGAACACCAGUGGCGAAGGCGACUUUCUGGUCUGUAACUGACGCUGAUGUGCGAAAGCGUGGGGAUCAAACAGG
rnacentral:rRNA from 1 species